UGCCUCCUGGCCCUGUUGCUGCUGCUCCUGCUCCUGCUCCUUAGACCUCUGGCCCUGGGGCUCCUGCUGCUGCGUUAUGGGUCCCCGGCUGCGUCCUGCUGCUCGGGACGCUCCCAGCCACUCCCCCCGUCAGCCACAGCAACUACGGAACAAAGAAACAGUUUUGAACUGAGGGGGGAGGAAUCCUGUCUGAAAGGAGUUAAGCCAGUCAGACUGCUCACGCCUGUGUGUGUGUUUGGACUGAAGUAUUUGGGAAACUCCAUUUGAGAUAACAAGGGAAAGCUGGAGCUGGUGCUGCACAGUUCUAAUUUGAAGACGUGUGAUUACUGUCAGGAGUCACAACUCAUUCCUAAGGACACAGUGGUCUAACGAGAUGGCUAGAUUUGCAUUUACUUAGUAACGUUGUACAUGCACAUUGAGGGCUCAUGGCUCGGGGCUUCGGAAAUAGGUCUCAUGCUGGUGAGCUAAAUAAGCUGCUCCAAUACAGCAUGCAACAGACAGGAACUGCCAGCAGAUCAGAUGACCUCUCCUACCCAGCAGAGGGCAGUGGCGCGCACACAAACCAGCCCAUUAAUUACUAAGGUCAAUGUGGUUCUAAAUUGUUCUCCCAGCUGUUGAGAGGAGGAUGUGGCUGUCCCUGAUGACUGCUUUCAGCCAGCCAACUGGGUACUCAAUUGGGAGUGGAGAAGCGAAAAAUAAUUGUUAUUCUGAGGAUCUGUACAAUAGCCAUACUGUCAUUUCCAAACUGCCAAAGAGGGAGGGUGGGGAGGCAGUGCCUCUGCCCAGAUUAAAUCAAGUCAUAUUUCAACUGCUUGACAGUUUUAUCAUCUAGCAAGGAUAGUUGUUUCCCUACAGCAGAGGCCAGCCUUUCUGUGAGGCCAUUAGAGACAGAGCCGGCUUUAAGCCGAUUCCCCGGAAUCAGGCACCACGCCUAAGAGGGCACUGCGCCUUAAGCAUCUUCUUAAUUUUUUUUUAACUCACCCAGCGGCGGGGGGUCCGCUCUGACUC